rnacentral:lncRNA from 10 species
GGUCAGAGUGCUGCAAUCUGAGAACUCAACCUGGCUUUGAACACAGAAGAAGGAAACUUUGAACAAAGAAGAAGGAAUCCAGGAAUGUGAGCCGCCUCAGAAAGCCAAAAAAGGGCUUGCCCCAAGGGAGACCUCAGCUUGUAGAUGGAGGGAGGUCUUGCUAGCAGUUACCAGAAUAAGAGAAACUGCCAUGGUAAUUAACAACCUGCUGCUGUGGGAAUCCAAAUAGAGUCAGAGCAACGUGUUUACAAUGCUUGGAGACAUAAUAGUGAGAUCAUGUCCCUGGUAGCAGGAACCAGGCUUCACCCUUCAUUGCGUUUAAAGAGACCACGUAGAAAAGUGAUUAUGGCCAGCGACUCUGAAGCCAAACUGCCUGGGUUCAAAUCUCAGCUUUGCCAUUGACUUACUAGCUCUGUAACCUUGGACAAUCUACUUAGUUUCUCUGUGCUCCAGUUUCCCCAUGUGUAAAAUGUAAGUACUACUAACUUCUCAUAUUGCUGUAAAAUUAAAUUUAUUAAUUUAUGUAAUUUUUAGAAUAGUGCUUGGCAAAUAGUGCUUAAAAAUGACAGAGACUGUUAUGUUUUCG